UACCCACAUCCCGCAGCAGGUCUCCAAGGUGAACAGCCUCUAGUCGAUGGACCAAUGUAGGCAAGGGAAGUCGGCAAAACGGAUCCGUAACCUUGGGAUAAAGAUUGGCUCUGAGGACUGAGCCGGUCGGGCUGGGGACCUGAAGCAGGAACGGCACUGCACCGGGACUGGGCGGGGCUCGCCGUUCACGCGGCGCGGCCAAGCCCGGACCAGCGUCGGGACCUUCCUGUGGAAAGCCUCAGCUGCGCGGCGUCCGAGGGCUUCGUGCCCAAAGUGCUAUGCUUCGGCCGGCAAAAAAAACAGUCAACUCAGAACUGGCACGGACCGGGGGAAUCCGACUGUCUAAUUAAAACAAAGCAUUGCGAUGGCCGCUGGUCGGUGUUGACGCAAUGUGAUUUCUGCCCAGUGCUCUGAAUGUCAACGUGAAGAGAUUCAUCAAAGCGCGGGUAAACGGCGGGAGUAACUAUGACUCUCUUGGAUGGAUGCUUUGAGAUUAGCAAAGAUACUUCUUGCAACUUGUGUUGAGUCAACAUGAGUGCCCCUGACAUGAACACUGUGGCGUGUCCGAAGCGUGGGAAAGUGUUUAAGACGAGGGGACUUGCGAGCCAUAGGAGGAAAUGUGACAAUGUUAAUCUGAAUGAGGAGAUUGUGAUAGAAAAAGUUAAGGCUAGAUGGACGGAGGAGGAAACAUAUUUUCUAGCUAAAGCAGAAGCAGAACCGCUACUGCAGGGAGUGAAGCCGCUGGGUAUUAACAAUGUCCUUUUCAAAAGUUUUGUGGGAAGGGGAGGGGCGGGAAAGGAAGAACGACAGAGUCUGUAAAGGGACAGCGCAGAAAAGCAGAGUA
rnacentral:ncRNA from 1 species